GACGAACCGUCCAAACGUUAUUCGGAAUCACUGGGCUUACAGAGUUCGUAGGCGGUCUGGAAAGUUGGGUGUGAAAUCCCUCGGCCUAACCGAGGAACUGCGCUUGAAACUACCAGACUCGAGGGGGAUAGAGGAAAGCGGAACUGAUGGUGGAGCGGUGAAAUGCGUUGAUAUCAUCAGGAACACCGGUGGCGAAGGCGGCUUUCUGGGUCUUACCUGACGCUGAGGAGCGAAAGCAUGGGGAGCGAACAGG
rnacentral:rRNA from 1 species